AUGAACGCUGGCGGCGUGCCUAAUACAUGCAAGUCGAGCGAACAGAUGAGGAGCUUGCUCCUCUGACGUUAGCGGCGGACGGGUGAGUAACACGUGGAUAACCUACCUAUAAGACUGGGAUAACUUCGGGAAACCGGAGCUAAUACCGGAUAAUAUAUUGAACCGCAUGGUUCAAUAGUGAAAGACGGUUUUGCGGUCACUUAUAGAUGGAUCCGCGCCGCAUUAGCUAGUUGGUAAGGUAACGGCUUACCAAGGCAACGAUGCGUAGCCGACCUGAGAGGGUGAUCGGCCACACUGGAACUGAGACACGGUCCAGACUCCUACGGGAGGCAGCAGUAGGGAAUCUUCCGCAAUGGGCGAAAGCCUGACGGAGCAACGCCGCGUGAGUGAUGAAGGUCUUCGGAUCGUAAAACUCUGUUAUUAGGGAAGAACAAAUGUGUAAGUAACUAUGCACGUCUUGACGGUACCUAAUCAGAAAGCCACGGCUAACUACGU
rnacentral:rRNA from 1 species